UACGAAGGGUGCAAGCGUUACUCGGAAUUACUGGGCGUAAAGCGUGCGUAGGUGGUUUGUUAAGUCUGUUGUGAAAGCCCCGGGCCCAACCUGGGAAUGGCAAUGGAUACUGGCAAGCUAGAGUGCGGUAGAGGGUAGUGGAAUUCCCGGUGUAGCGGUGAAAUGCGUAGGAGAUCGGGAGGAACACCAGUGGCGAAGGCGGCUACCUGGACCAGCACUGACACUGAGGCACGAAAGCGUGGGGAGCA
rnacentral:rRNA from 1 species